UGGACGGGUAUGAAAGCAAACACACAUCUGGAAGUUCCUGCAGUUAAUUGGGCAAUUAUUCAUACCACUCUCGCUGGAAGCAGCCUGCUACCGCCGAGCCAAAACCAACAACAACAGGCUGUGGGCGUGCUCCGGCCGGGCGCGUGCGCAUCUGCAGUCCUGGGGACACCACUGCUGAGUCUGACCCAAAUCUCUUGAUGGAGGCACGUGGUGCAGAGGGGGGAAUGUGAGAGCUGCUCUGCCCUGGUCGGAUGGUCUGUAUGAAGGUGCCUGAGGCAAGCCCUCUCUCCACCAGCCGUGAUGGCAGACAGCGCAUGCAGCUGAGCCCACAGUGACC